UCCACGGAGAAGCGGGGCAGUCGGCCCUGGCCCACUUCUUUGGAAUGUGGAUUUCUAACUAAAAAGAGUAUUUUGAACAAUGGACAGAAGAAAUUCCAAUCUUUGGAAAUUUCCAGAGAGACUUUUGCAAGCCAUUCCAUCACUCCUACUAACGUAACCUAAGGACUUUGCAAUCAUUUGAAACAAAAAAAAAAUAGCAGAGAGGAGGAAGGAAAAGCAGAAUAUCUGAGCUUCACUUUCAGAAAGAUCAAAACCAUGAAAGAUGUUCAACACCUGCAGCCCCCACUCCCCUUCCC